GCUGAGCGCCAUGGCAAACCCCCGUAGUCCCUGCUGCUGGAGGCUAAGUCUGGUGGGUCACUUGGGUUCCAGAGUUCUGAGCUGCCGUAGGAAGGGCUAAAGCUGACGGGUGUCUGCACUAAGUCUGGCACCGAUAUGGUGAGUCCCUGGAAGCAGAGAGCCACAAGGCUGCCUAAGAAGUGGCGAACCAGCCCAGGCUGGAAACAGAGCAGGUCAAAACUUCCAUUCUCAUCAGCAGCAAGGUGAGGUCUGUGAGUGGCUGCUAUUCUUACAGCUUGGGUGAGACAGAGAGACCAAGUCUUA
rnacentral:SRP_RNA from 1 species